UACGGAAGGCAGCGGUGGGGAAUAUUGCACAAUGGGCGAAAGCCUGAUGCAGCUAUGCCGCGUGUAUGAAGAAGGCCUUAGGGUUGUAAAGUACUUUCAUCGGGGAGGAAAAAACAAAACUAAUAAUUUUAUUUCUUGACGUUACCCGAAAAAGAAGCACCGGCUAACUCCGUGCCAGCAGCCGCGGUAAUACGGAGGGUGCUAGCGUUAAUCAGAAUUACUGGGCGUAAAGAGCACGUAGGUGGUUUUUUUAAGUUCAGAUGUGAAAUCCCUGGGCUUUAACCUAGGAACUGCAUUUUGAAACUGAAAUACUAGAGUAUCGUAGAGGGAGGUAGAAUUCUAGGUGUAGCGGUGAAAUGCGUAGAUAUCUGGAGGAAUACCUGUGGCGAAAGCGGCCUCCUAAACGAAUACUGACACUGAGGUGCGAAAAGCGUGGGGAGCAAAACAGGGAUUAGAUACC
rnacentral:rRNA from 1 species